rnacentral:rRNA from 1 species
CACGAAGGGGGCUAGCGUUGUUCGGAUUUACUGGGCGUAAAGCGCACGUAGGCGGGUCGUUAAGUCAGGGGUGAAAUCCCGGAGCUCAACUCCGGAACUGCCUUUGAUACUGGCGACCUUGAGGCUGGAAGAGGUUAGUGGAAUUCCCAGUGUAGAGGUGAAAUUCGUAGAUAUUGGGAAGAACACCAGUGGCGAAGGCGGCUAACUGGUCCAGAUCUGACGCUGAGGUGCGAAAGCGUGGGGAGCAAACAGG